AGUCCUGUAGCUCAACGGUGGAGCAUCUGUCUUACAAACAGAGGGUUGCAUGUACCGCUUCGCGGAAGCAAGCUACAAAUCCUGCCGGGACUACCA
rnacentral:tRNA from 1 species